rnacentral:rRNA from 1 species
GACGAACGCUGGCGGCGUGCUUAACACAUGCAAGUCGAACGGAAAGGCCUGCUUUCCCUUGUGGAUUGCGGGUACUCGAGUGGCGAACGGGUGAGUAACACGUGAGUGAUCUGCCCCCAACUUGGGUAUAAGCCUGGGAAACUGGGUCUAAUUCCCGAUAGGACUGCAGGGUGGUGCCUGUGGUGGAAAACGAUUUUCUAGUGGUUGGGGAUGAGCUCGCGGCCUAUCAGCUUGUUGGUGGGGUAAUGGCCUACCAAGGCGGCGACGGGUAGCCGGCCUGAGAGGGUGGACGGCCACAUUGGGACUGAGAUACGGCCCCGACUCCUACGGGAGGCAGCAGUGGGGAAUAUUGCACAAUGGGCGGAAGCCUGAUGCAGCGACGCCGCGUGGGGGAUGACGGCCUUCGGGUUGUAAACUCCUUUCGACCGCGAGGAAGCCACCUGGUUGGAAGGGUGGUGACGGUAGUGGUAGAAGAAGCACCGGCUAGCUACGUG